GAUGAACGCUGGCGGCGUGCCUAAUACAUGCAAGUCGAGCGAACAGACGAGGAGCUUGCUCCUCUGACGUUAGCGGCGGACGGGUGAGUAACACGUGGAUAACCUACCUAUAAGACUGGGAUAACUUCGGGAAACCGGAGCUAAUACCGGAUAAUAUAUUGAACCGCAUGGUUCAAUAGUGAAAGACGGUUUUGCUGUCACUUAUAGAUGGAUCCGCGCCGCAUUAACUAGUUGGUAAGGUAACGGCUUACCAAGGCAACGAUGCGUAGCCGACCUGAGAGGGUGAUCGGCCACACUGGAACUGAGACACGGUCCAGACUCCUACGGGAGGCAGCAGUAGGGAAUCUUCCGCAAUGGGCGAAAGCCUGACGGAGCAACGCCGCGUGAGUGAUGAAGGUCUUCGGAUCGUAAAACUCUGCUAUUAGGGAAGAACAAAUGUGUAAGUAACUAUGCACGUCUUGACGGUACCUAAUCAGAAAGCCACGGCUAACUACGUG
rnacentral:rRNA from 1 species